AGACUAUGGGGCUGCCUACCAUGCAAGUCGAAUGUUGCUCGCAAGAGUAAACAUGGCAGACGGCUGAGUAACGCGUGGGGACUUACCCCGAGGUCGAGCAUAACUCGCCGAGAGGCGAGAUAAUUCUCGAUGUUGUCGAAAGACUAAAGAUUUAUCGCUUCGGGAGAGACCUGCGUCCGAUUAGCUUGUUGGUGAGGUAACGGCUCACCAAGGCUUUGAUCGGUAGGGGGCCUGAGAGGGUGACCCCCCAGACUGGGACUGAGACACGGCCCAGACUCCUACGGGAGGCAGCAGUGAGGGAUUUUCCACAAUGGGCGAAAGCCUGAUGGAGCAAUGCCGCGUGCAGGAUGACGGCCCUCGGGUUGUAAACUGCUUUUAUGAAGGAAGAUUAUGACUGUACUUCAUGAAUAAGACGCUGCUAACUACGUGCCAGCAGCAGCGGUAAUACGUAGGCGUCAAGCGUUAUCCGGAUUCACUGGGCGUAAAGCGUCCGCAGGUUGAUUUGUAAGUCUGAUAUCAAAGAUCCCGGCUCAACCGGGAGAAGGUACCAGAAACUGCAAGUCUAGAGGCCAGUAGGGGCUGUCGGAACUUAUCGAGUAGGGGUAAUAUCCGUUGAUACGAUAAGGAACACCAAAGGCGAAGGCAGACAGCUGGGCUGGCCCUGACACUCAUGGACGAAAGCGUGGGGAGCGAACGGGAUUAGAUACCCCGGUAGUCCACGCCCUAAACGAUGGUCACUAGGCAUUGGCGGUUUCGACCCCCCCAGUGCCGAAGCUAACGCGUUAAGUGACCCGCCUGGAGAGUACGAUCGCAAGAUUAAAACUCAAAGGAAUUGACGGGGACCCGCACAAGCGGUGGAGCAUGUGGUUUAAUUGGAUGGUAAGCCGGGCACCUCACCCAGAUUUGACAUCCUGCUGAAAGGCACUAGAAAUAGAGCCCCUCUUACGACAGCAGAGACAGGUGCUGCACGGGUUGUCGUCAGCUCGUGUUGUGAAAUGUACGGUUAAGUCCGAU
rnacentral:rRNA from 1 species